AACGAACGCUGGCGGCAUGCCUAACACAUGCAAGUCGGACGAAGCCUUCGGGCUUAGUGGCGCACGGGUGCGUAACGCGUGGGAAUCUGCCCUUUGGUUCGGAAUAACAGUUGGAAACGACUGCUAAUACCGGAUGAUGACGAAAGUCCAAAGAUUUAUCGCCAGAGGAUGAGCCCGCGUAGGAUUAGCUAGUUGGUGUGGUAAAGGCGCACCAAGGCGACGAUCCUUAGCUGGUCUGAGAGGAUGAUCAGCCACACUGGGACUGAGACACGGCCCAGACUCCUACGGGAGGCAGCAGUGGGGAAUAUUGGACAAUGGGCGAAAGCCUGAUCCAGCAAUGCCGCGUGAGUGAUGAAGGCCCUAGGGUUGUAAAGCUCUUUUACCCGGGAUGAUAAUGACAGUACCGGGAGAAUAAGCCCCGGCUAACUCCGUGCCAGCAGCCGCGGUAA
rnacentral:rRNA from 1 species